rnacentral:rRNA from 1 species
GAUGAACGCUGGCGGCGUGCCUAAUACAUGCAAGUCGAGCGAACAGACGAGGAGCUUGCUCCUCUGACGUUAGCGGCGGACGGGUGAGUAACACGUGGAUAACCUACCUAUAAGACUGGGAUAACUUCGGGAAACCGGAGCUAAUACCGGAUAAUAUAUUGAACCGCAUGGUUCAAUAGUGAAAGACGGUUUUGCUGUCACUUAUAGAUGGAUCCGCGCCGCAUUAGCUAGUUGGUAAGGUAACGGCUUACCAAGGCAACGAUGCGUAGCCGACCUGAGAGGGUGAUCGGCCACACUGGAACUGAGACACGGUCCAGACUCCUACGGGAGGCAGCAGUAGGGAAUCUUCCGCAAUGGGCGAAAGCCUGACGGAGCAACGCCGCGUGAGUGAUGGAGGUCUUCGGAUCGUAAAACUCUGUUAUUAGGGAAGAACAAAUGUGUAAGUAACUACGCACGUCUUGACGGUACCUAAUCAGAAAGCCACGGCUAACUACGUG